AUUGAACGCUGGCGGCAGGCCUAACACAUGCAAGUCGAGCGGAGCGGCGGACGGAUGAGUAAUGCCUAGGAAUCUGCCUGGUAGUGGGGGAUAACGUCCGGCAACGGGCGCUAAUACCGACUACUAUCGGUUGAACCCCUAUGGGAUUAGCUAGUCGGUGGGGUAAAGGCUCACCUAGGCGACGAUCUCUAGCUGGUCUGAGAGGAUGAUCAGCCACACUGGGACUGAGACACGGCCCAGACUCCUACGGGAGGCAGCAGUGGGGAAUAUUGCACAAUGGGCGCAAGCCUGAUGCAGCCAUGCCGCGUGUAGGAAGAAGGCCUUAGGGUUGUAAAGUACUUUCAGCGGGGAGGCGUUACCCGCAGAAGAAGCACCGGCUAACUCCGUGCCAGCCGCCGCGGUAAUUC
rnacentral:rRNA from 1 species